rnacentral:lncRNA from 1 species
AACCCUCUCAGCAGAUCUUUAUGAAAAAGUCUACCGCAUUUUAAACACUACGAUUGUUGUAUUUUUCUGGUUCCAUCAGACUGACAGCUGGUCAUGAGUGGAGUUCUGUAGGGGUUUGGUGCUAUUCAAUCUAUCUUUAGAGGACC